GGAUUGUGGCUUAGUGGUAGAGCACUGAGCCUAGCAUGUGCUAGGCCCUGGGUUCGAUCCUCGGCACCA
rnacentral:tRNA from 1 species